GUUCUCCACUGCAACUCGAUUUGAAUCUGCCCAUUUUUCGAGUCAAUGAGAUGGUACUUUUCGUUGAUCCGCUUGUUGCUAAUCACGUCAGCCAGGCUUAUAUCAAUGUAACCCAGGGUUUCCUGUAGAAACAUAACACAAGCAUCAAGGUAAGAAAACUCAAGACCUACUACCUUUGUUCCAAAAUAUAAGCCUUUUUAGAAAGCUAGUUUAACUUUCUAGAAAGUCAGUUUUUCGGAAGGGAUGUCAUAUGUAUACAUAAAAGAGAUAGAAAGUCAAUUUUUCAUACCCAUAUAGAAAUAGAAAACUGAAGGACUAA